UACAGAGGGUGCGAGCGUUAAUCGGAAUUACUGGGCGUAAAGCGUGCGUAGACGGCUAUCUAAGUCGGGUGUGAAAGCCCCGGGCUCAACCUGGGAAUUGCAUUCGAGACUGAAUAGCUAGGGUACGGUAGAGGGAAGCGGAAUUUCCGGUGUAGCGGUGAAAUGCGUAGAUAUCGGAAGGAACAUCAGUGGCGAAGGCGGCCUUCUGGACAGUGACUGACGCUGAGACGCGAAAGCGUGGGGAGCAAACAGG
rnacentral:rRNA from 1 species